rnacentral:pre_miRNA from 1 species
GGAGGAAGGCCGGAUCCUGGGUUGUGUUCUGGCACCCAGUGUUCCCGGGCCUGCGCUUUUGGAGUCGCACUCCCGGCCAGCCGCGCAGCCGCCU